CAUUAAAUUGUGGUUUUCGGUACAUAUUGGGUGGUAAUGCCCACCAAAAUCUUUUUAGUGUUUAGGGUGUUAAAGGUCUAUACCUACCCUGGGGAAGUGCAGAUCAGGGUUUUGGUUGGAGGAUCCUGGAUGGCAGGAUGCAUCUGAGUUAGGUGGGUCUUAGGGAAAGGGUUGCUGGAAUGGGAAACUCCAGGGUUCAGUAGGGGGAUGUGGAUGGGGUGUUCUGGCAAUCAUUAUGCUAAUAUGGGUGCUAUACAGAAAUACCUAAUACAUCUCACUAGGGUACUGAUAAAGAGUAUGGCUCUCAAGCCAGACCAACUGAGUUAGAAUCCCUUCUCCACCAAUUACCAGCUCUAUGACUGAGCAGGUUACUUGAUUUCUCUGACAUUUUCCUCAUAUAUAAAAUGAAGAUAAUAUUGGUGCACUUCAUUGAGAACUAACAUGAGUUAAUAAUUGUGAAGGCACACCUGGACAGAGGAAAUGCUCAAGCAUGGACAUUUUUAUAUCCCCAGCCUCCAGUGCCAUGGCUGGCAUGUAGAAAGCAUGUGACAAACAUUUGCUGAAUAAUAAAUGUGGGGCUGCCUGUGAGAUGAAUGAAGCAGACUAUUCCUGAGUAGUUAAUGAAUGAUGCUGAGAAGAUCCUGAUUCCAGUGGCUCUUUAUUAAAAUAUAAUGUUAAGUAAAAUGACUAGUUUUAUGUUAUCAAUGUCUAUUGCUAGGUUCUGUUUUUAUAUAUGUGAAAGCAUUAUUAUUAUUGCUUUCUUGUUUUUUUCUCUUGUUGUUGCUGCUGCUGAAUCCUCACCAGGAAGGAAUUAAGAUCUCAUUUCCUCAAUGAAACCCAGAAAGAAAAGACUCUUCAUUAUCCCCAUAUUCUGGUAAUUUCAUCUUUGACACUGUAUUUGACACAAAGAAAGUGUCCUUGACACAAAGAAAGAAACUUGUUUAAGAUUUUCUGCUGAAGAGAGGUACAAAGGAAUUGAAAGCCAACUAAGGUGUGCAUAAACAUUGAAAAAUCUGCUUCAACUUCAAAUGUGCAAACUGCUGGAGAAGCUACAACAUUAUAUUUUGCAUGCUUAUUCUUUAAAAUAUACUCGACAUUGCUGUAUAGAUUAUACAUUUAUCCAUAACAUUGUAUAAUUCAGCGUUACCCAUCUAGAGCAAAUAUAUCCUUUAUCUUAUGCAAUCAUGAUUUAAGAGAUUUUCACUGUGAUUCUUGUGACUUUUCCAUAGUUGUUGAUUCUGUAAAGCCCUCAGAUAAAUUGCAACUUACCGUGUGUAUGUAUGAAGGUAGUUCUCCCCAUGACUUCAUUAUGUAAGAAUCAGCUAUAGCUCCUUUCUUACUUUAAAGAAAGCAAGAAGUUUUGAGCAUAAAAUUUUCAGUUGGUUAUAAAAAUAAUUUUUAAAAAUUGUGAAAGUAAUAGGAUAUUUUAGAAAAUUGAGGACAUAGAGAAAGAA